rnacentral:rRNA from 1 species
CCUACGGGGGACAGCAGUAGGGAAUAUUGCACAAUGGGGGAAACCCUGAUGCAGCGAUGCCGCGUGGAGGAAGAAGGUUUUCGGAUUGUAAACUCCUUUUAUCAGGGACGAUAAUGACGGUACCUGAAGAAAAAGCUCCGGCUAACUACGUGCCAGCAGCCGCGGUAAUACGUAGGGAGCGAGCGUUGUCCGGAAUUACUGGGUGUAACGGGAGCGUAGGCGGCCUGCCAAGUCUGGUGUGAAAACCCGGGGCCCAACCCCGGGCCUGCAUUGGAAACUGGCGGGCUGGAGUGUCGGAGGGGCAGGCGGAAUUCCUAGUGUAGCGGUGAAAUGCGUAGAUAUUAGGAGGAACACCGGUGGCGAAGGCGGCCUGCUGGACGAUGACUGACGCUGAGGCUCGAAAGCGUGGGGAGCAAACAGGAUUAGAUACCCUGGUAGUC